rnacentral:lncRNA from 1 species
CCACUCACUCACCAGUCACCACACAGAGCCAAAGGAAUCACGUGUACGUACGUACGAGUGGGACGCGAGGCGUGGGAUGGCCGGAAUCCAGGUCGUCCAUGCAUAGCGCGACAAAGUGUACAAACGCUGCUAGCUAGGCUACCGAUAGGUAUCAAUAUUCAGUAACAUAGGCCGUGCGCUGUCGAAAGCUGCAUCAGCCCAAGAAACCCAGCCC